GGAUUACAGCCGCCUCCUGGAGCAGAUUGUUAAGCUGAUGCGAGUCUGGGCUCUGCCUCACCACUUGUCUCAGAGAAUGUCCAGUGCUAGGAGACUCAUAAGUUGGAGAGAAACGGCCUGAUUUAUAGAAACUGAGCGAGACUCCGGACCACCUGAUGCAGAGAAACCUGUGACCUGAAAAAGUCUAUUUGUGUUUCCUCUAGGAAUCUCGGCCAAGAAGACAGGGACAAGCUCCCAACUCU
rnacentral:lncRNA from 1 species